GUGUCUGCGUAUGUGAAUCUCUUGUUUAUGUGGUUUUAUGGGUAACUUUAAUUUUUUUUUUGUGUCCUUGGACCCAUCCAUUUGGAGAAUUGGGAUCACAUAGCUCAUGUGCUGAUAAAUUCGAGGCUGGACCUGAAUGAGAGGCUGGUAAUUCUGUGUGUUUCAAGAAAACUUAUUUCUUGUGCACUUUCAGUUGAUGUGACUACAAUUAAACCUCACAAAUAUUGUUGGUUAAGCCAGAGUUUAACCUGCCUUGUAUAGGGGAAGGGAUGAUGCCAGAAAAUAAAAUCUCACCAAUAAUGAGAUUAAACUCCAGAAAGAAACUAAAAAGAGAUUUAGCUCUAAUAAUAGACCCCUAACUACUGGCUAGGACACAAUUUUAAGAGAUAUCCAGAACUUCUUAACUAGCUGCAUGUUUUAGGAACCGCACAUUCAGAGUCAUUAUGUGGUUAGAGGGAUGCCCUGCUUGCUUACUUUAUGUUUAAUAAUUGAUAAAAAGAUGUAACUCCAGCCUUACAAUGAAGUGUUUCUCUUGAUGAUUUCUAUAUGUCAAAAAACCUGUAUGGUGAUUGUUUCACUGAUCCAAUUUCUACUUUUGAAUUUUCUAAGGUGAUGUCUGGUUAAUCUGUUACAUAGACUGUAGUGUAAGGUGUUCUGUUCUUUCGAUUUAAUUUUAGGCUAGUUGAUGGAUUUCGUUAACAUAGUCUCUAAAAUGCAGCUGGAGGAAAAAGGGGCCGGACCUGGGGCAAGAAGCUCACAUGCCAUCACUAUUGUAGGACAAAAGGUAUAUGCCUUUGGGGGUGAAUUCACACCUCGUGUACCUGUCGACAACAAAUUAUACACAUUUGAUCUCACUUACCAAGAAUGGUCUGCGGCAGACGCAGCUGGGGAUGUCCCUCCACCUCGUGUUGGUGUCACUAUGGACACUAUAGGGGAAACAAUCUAUGUAUUUGGUGGCAGAGAUGCUGAACAUAAGGAGCUCAAUGAGCUCUAUUCUUUUGACACAACUACUAACAAAUGGACCUUAUUGUCUAGUGGGGAUGAGGGUCCUUCUCACCGUAGCUACCACUCGAUGACUUCUGAUGAUCGCAGGAUAUACGUCUUUGGUGGUUGUGGAAAUGCUGGAAGAUUAAGUGAUCUUUGGGCUUACGAUGCUGUUGAUAAGAAAUGGAUCGAAUUUCCUGUACCAGGGGAAAAUUGUAAACCAAGAGGUGGACCUGGUUUGGCUGUGAUCCUAGGCAAAAUCUGGGUUGUGUAUGGAUUCUCUGGGGAUGAACUUGAUGAUGUGCAUUACUUUGAUGCAAUUGAAGAAAAGUGGGUGCAAGUGGAGACAAAUGGUGAAAAACCUACAGCUAGGAGUGUAUUUUCAACCGUUGGGAUUGGGAAAUACAUUUUUAUCUAUGGUGGGGAAAUUGACCCCAGUGACUUAGGUCACUUGGGUGCAGGGAAAUUUUCCGGUGAUGUCUAUGCCCUUGACACAGAGACACUAGUUUGGAAGCAGUGGAUUGAUUCCGGUGAUCAUCCAGGGCCACGAGGGUGGUGCGCCUUCGCUAGCGGCCGACGGGAUGGUGAAGAGGGGCUGCUGGUUUAUGGUGGCAAUUCACCUAGCAAUGAUAGGCUUGGUGGUAUUUUCUUUUUCACUCCUCUGGUGGAGACUUGAGUAGAAAUGAGAACUUGUGAUGUAAUGGAUGUUGUAAUAACAAAAUUAUCUUCAAGAUUAAUUUUGAGCUGCUAGCAUCGUGUGGGAAAUGGGGAGAAAAAUAUGUUCUGUGACUGUUUAGUGUUUAUUGAUGCUUUUGUAAGGUUUAUUGGGCUUCUUAAAUCAAGGAUCCAUGUUGUGAAAUUCUUACUGUAGGUCAUUACUUCUUUAUUUUUGGUUUUACUCCAAUGUAGUACCUUAUGCAUGUCCAGAAUGAACUUAACUUUACACGUUUAGUUUAAUGUUUCAUUAACCAUCAAGAGUUCAUGGUUGCGUUAUCAAAACAAAAUGACUCUAAUACCGUGGAAGAUAUGAUUUUCUGGACUCUCUUACAGCAAUUCUCCAAUUGUUCUGAAAGAUUCUUGAAUUCCUUUCAGUCCAUCUAAAUCCUGCUGCCAUUCCAUUGAAUCUCUUCUUAUAUCUUGCCAUUGCAGGAGUUUACUCCACACCAUCCCAAAUUCCCACAACUAAAGAACAAGUGACUAUUGCUUUCAAUCUCUGUAUUGCAUAAUGGAUAGACUAGAGGGGUAGACACUCUCCAAUGAGCAAGAUGGUUCAUACUUGCUCAUGAAAGGGUUUUACAUACCGUGAUUGUCUUGGUUCCUCUUCUACGAUUCAAUUAAUUUUUGAUAUCUUUUAAAAACAUCACAAUAUCUUAUUUAUAAUGUAAAAUAAUAAUAACAGCAACAACCCUGUAUUAUCCCACACCGUGAGUUAUGGGGAAGGUAGUGUGUACACAGACCUUACCCCUACUUUGUGAGGAUAGAGAGGCUAUUUCCAAUAGGCCAUUGGCUCAGGGAAGCACAAGCUCACAUUAAUGAAAAUAUAGACAAGAAGGGACAAUACCAAAAAGUUAUAUAAAAGAAUAAUAAAACAACAAGAUAGAAAGGAGAUCAACAAUGAAGGAAACAAUUGUAACUCAUAAAAACCUACUACCAACAGAAAGUGAGACUGCGUGCCAAUAAUACUAUUGUUAUGAAUACUCUAGACUACCUACUAUACUUCCCUAAUCCUCGAUCUCCAUACCUUACUAUCAAGGAUCAUGUCCUCGAUCAGCUGAAGCUGGGCUAUGUCUUGCCUAAUUACCUCUCCUCACCUCUUCUUUGGCCUACCUCUGCCUCUCCGUAGGCCCUCCAAUGUCAACCUCUAAUACCUUCUCACCAGGGCGUCUAUACUCCUCCUUCUCACAUGACCAAAUCCCCUAAGCCGCGCUUCCUGCAUCUUGUCCUCAAUAGGGGCCACACCCACCUUGUUGCGAAUAACCUCAUCUCUGAUCCUAUCUAACCUAGUCUGCCUGCACAUCCAUCUCAACAUCCUGAUCUCUGCUACCUUCAUCUUCUAGACAUGAGUAAUCUUGACUGGCCAACACUUAGUCCCAUACAACAUCGUUGAUGUGACCACCACUCUGUAGAACUUACCCUUAAGUUUCGGUGGUACCUACUUGUCACACAAAACAUCAUAAGCAACUCUCCAUUUUAUCCAUCCGCCCAGUACGAUGUGUGAAAUCUUUAUAAAUCAAUCUGAUCCCCCUGAAUAAUAGACCCAAGGUACUUAAAAUUUCCCAUCUUAGGGAUGACCUGUAAGUCCAGCUCACCUCCAUUUCCCCUCCUUAGGGCCCGCCACUAAACUUACACUCUAAGUAUUCUGUCUUGAUCCUGCUUAACAUGAAACCUAACGUAGGCAACACCUUGCGUCUCAUCAAUCAAUACAAUAUUAUCUGCUAAUAGCAUGCACCAUAGUACCUCUCCUUGGAUGUGGCACGUCAGUGCGUCGUACAUUUUUAUCUAUGGUGGGGAAAUUGACCCCAGUGACUUAGGUCACUUAGGUGCAGGGAAAUUUUCCGGUGAUGUCUAUGCCCUUGACACAGAGACACUAGUUUGGAAGCAGUGGAUUGAUUCCGGUGAUCAUCCAGGGCCACGAGGGUGGUGCGCCUUCGCCAGCGGCCGACGGGAUGGUGAAGAGGGGCUGCUGGUUUAUGGUGGCAAUUCACCUAGCAAUGAUAGGCUUGGUGGUAUUUUCUUUUUCACUCCUCUGGUGGAGACUUGAGUAGAAAUGAGAACUUGUGAUGAUUUGGAUGUUGUAAUAACAAAAUUAUCUUCAAGAUUAAUUUUGAGCUGCUAGCAUCGUGUGGGAAAUGGGGAGAAAAAUAUGUUCUGUGACUGUUUAGUGUUUAUUGAUGCUUUUGUAAGGUUUAUUGGGCUUCUUAAAUCAAGGAUCCAUGUUGUGAAAUUCUUACUGUAGGUCAUUACUUCUUUAUGUUUGGUUUUACUCCAAUGUAGUACCUUAUGCAUGUCCAGAAUGAACUUAACUUUACACGUUUAGUUUAAAGUUUCAUUAACCUUAUCAAGAGUUCAUGGUUGCGUUAU
rnacentral:lncRNA from 1 species